GAUCAUGGUCAGGAUGAACGCUAGCGGCAGGCUUAACACAUGCAAGUCGAGGGGCAGCAUAAUGGAUAGCAAUAUCUAUGGUGGCGACCGGCGCACGGGUGCGUAACGCGUAUGCAACCUACCUUUAACAGGGGGAUAACACUGAGAAAUUGGUACUAAUACCCCAUAAUAUCAUAGAAGGCAUCUUUUAUGGUUGAAAAUUCCGAUGGUUAGAGAUGGGCAUGCGUUGUAUUAG
rnacentral:rRNA from 1 species